rnacentral:lncRNA from 10 species
GUAAAGGUGUGUGCCUGAGUUCCCUCAGUCAGGACCCUUGGCUCCGGCUUCUGAACCGGCCACUGACGAACUGCCUGGUUUAUGUUCAUGUUGACUCUCACUACACCUGCAAAAACUUAUUUCUCUAUGAGCAAUGUGUUUCAGAAGGACCUGGACAUGUCUGGCUGAGGCAUUUUCCAUGGUGAUCUGCUCCGUAGUUGUUUUGGCGUCUUGCAGGGGCUACUCUUGCUUUAUUUUUUUGUAUUGUGGAGCUGCAGGCUGAAGUCUGACUCUCAGGUUGGUAUAUCCUGCAGGCUCUUGGGACAGGAGCUCAUUCUGUGGACCGCACUGGAGAAACAGAGGCUGGAAGGCUUUGUCCUCCCCACCUGCCCCCAUCUGAUGUGAGAUCUGAGGCAGGGCCACUGUCAGGCCUGGGAUUAAACAUCAGGUAAAACACAAUGAUGUGCAAAGUCCCCUGAGCCCUAUAUCAGUGCCAUGAGAAACAUGAGUGUUUCGGAUACACUUUCCCUCAUGGCAUCCAGCACUCAAGAAGGUCUUUAAAAGAGAAUUGAGGAAAGUAACAUCAUCCUGCUUUGACCUUCUUCCAAGUUAAGUGAGAGCAUUCUCACAUAGCAUUACCCUAUGAAAUCAGGGUAGAUAGUGUGACAUAAUCCUACAGAUGAGGAAACUGGCCUACAGUUUAAAAGAAACACUCCAGAUCUUACAGCUGGCAAGUUUUAGCAACUCACUAGAUGCCAGGUCUGUUUUUUUACAAAGUCCCAUCAAGACCCAUUUUUCAGUGGCAACGACUAAGGAACGACCUUGAGGAAGCUGAAAGUUCUGCCUUCUAGGACACAUCCCUGCCAACAGCUUUGGCUGAUGUCACACACCCCUCACUAGUUCCUCUUUGUCUUCUAGCUUAAGCUUCCAUGUCCUCUUUGAAUUUGUCUAUGUUUUCUUUUCUUUUUUCUUUCCUUUUUUUUUGUGUGUGUGGGGGGACAGAGUCUUACUCUGUCACCCCGACUGGAGUGCAAUGGCGUGAUCUCGGCUCACUGCAACCUCCACCUCCCAGGCUCAAGCAAUUCUCCAGCCUCCACCUCCUGAGUAGCUGGGAUUACAGGCGUGUGUCACCAUGCACAGCUAAUUUUUUUUUUUUUUUUUUUUUUUUGAGACAGAAUCUCGCUCUGUCACCCAGGCUGGAGUGCAGUGGCACAAUCUCAGCUCACUGCAAGCUCCGCCUCCUGGGUUUGUGCCAUUCUCCUGCCUCAGCCUCCCUAGUAGCUGGGACUACAGGUGCCCACCACCACGCCCGGCUAAUUUUUUUGUCUUUUUAGUAGAGACAGGGUUUCACUCUGUUAGCCAGGAUGGUCUCGAUCUCCUGACCUCGUGAUCCACCCGCCUCAGCCUCCCAAAGUGCUGGGAUUACAGGCAUAAGCCACGGUGCCUGGCCGCUAAUUUUUUAUUUUUAGUAGAGACAGGGUUUCACCAUGUUGGCUAAGCUGGUCUCAAACGCCUGGGCUGAAGCAAUCCGCCUGUCUCAGCCUGCCAAAGUGCUGGGAUUACAGGUGUUUGCCACCGUGUCUGGCCCAUGUCUAUGUUUUCAAAAGGUUAAGUCAACAGGGAAGGAGCUAGGAGGGUGAGGUUGGGCCCCCUGUUGCUUUCUGCUUAGCAGCUCUGUCCUCUAAAAAUGAACUCUGGUCCACAGUUUUGAUAUGAACCAUUCCUGGCUAUAAGCAAAAUGGUACUAGAAAUAGCUUUCACACCGAGGCACAAAACUGACUCAGGCUAGCUAGAUAAGCCUCUUGUUAAUGUCACUUGUUAAAGUUGGUGACACUAGCCACAAUGAGUGUAUUGCAGGAAAUGUUCAUUAAGUUCCUGACCAGCUUCUAUAAUCUUCCUCUCUGACAUUUCCAGGAUGGGAUGACCUCUACCAUAAAGUUGGAGAACUUCUAAAGAUGGCAUGUGCGUAGAAAGAACUUCCCAGGCUUUUCUUCUUGGGGGUGUGUCGGGGGGUGGCGGGUUUUUAAGAAUCUCUGAUGGAGAUGUUAGGUCCUCAACAAGGUAGAGAAGAUGCAAAGCUCAACUGACAGUACUCACCAUUCCCUUUUCUGCCCAGGACGGCAUAUUCUGCAGCUCUGGUUGCUAAGCUAACGCUGGGAACUGUGGAAAGUUACCCUUUGGUAAGUUGCAAAUGCUGCAUGAAUGAUUCUGUAGUUACACUCCCCAGGGUCAGGGAGAAGACCCAGCAGUAACAAUCAGAUUUGAGUCCCUGCUAAGAUUGCCUUUGGAGCAGUGUCCCAGGCAUGGCUGCUGUCAGAUGAGACAACUUACUUUUAAAUGUAUCUUAUUUUGUAAAUGUAUUUUUUAAAAAUAGUCUCGGGCUGGGCACGGUGUCUCACGCCUGUAAUCCCA